rnacentral:rRNA from 1 species
GACGAACGCUGGCGGCGUGCCUAACACAUGCAAGUCGAACGGAAAACAUAGCAAUAUGUUUUUAGUGGCGAACGGGUGAGUAACGCGUAGACAACCAACCUUUUUGUGGGGGACAACACUUCGAAAGGAGUGCUGAUACCGCAUGCGCUCCAGAUGCCGCCUGGCGUUUGGAGGAAAGGAGCUUUACGUCUUCGCAGAAAGACGGGUCUGCGUCUGAUUAGCUAGUUGGAGGGGUAACGGCCCACCAAGGCCACGAUCAGUAGCCGGUCUGAGAGGAUGGACGGCCACACUGGGACUGAGACACGGCCCAGACUCCUACGGGAGGCAGCAGUGGGGAAUCUUCCGCAAUGGACGAAAGUCUGACGGAGCGACGCCGCGUGAGUGAUGAAGGCCCUUGGGUCGUAAAGCUCUGUCAUCAGGGACGAACGGUCACGUCAGGAAAUGGGCGUGAAUUGACGGUACCUGAGAAGGAAGCCACGGCUAACUACGUGCCAGCCGCCGCGGUAAGAC